rnacentral:rRNA from 1 species
GAGGAAUAUUGGUCAAUGGACGAGAGUCUGAACCAGCCAAGUAGCGUGAAGGAUGACUGCCCUAUGGGUUGUAAACUUCUUUUAUACGGGAAUAAAGUGAGGCACGUGUGCCUUUUUGUAUGUACCGUAUGAAUAAGGAUCGGCUAACUCCGUGCCAGCAGCCGCGGUAAUACGGAGGAUCCGAGCGUUAUCCGGAUUUAUUGGGUUUAAAGGGAGCGUAGGCGGACGCUUAAGUCAGUUGUGAAAGUUUGCGGCUCAACCGUAAAAUUGCAGUUGAUACUGGGUGUCUUGAGUACAGUAGAGGCAGGCGGAAUUCGUGGUGUAGCGGUGAAAUGCUUAGAUAUCACGAAGAACUCCGAUUGCGAAGGCAGCUUGCUGGACUGUAACUGACGCUGAUGCUCGAAAGUGUGGGUAUCAAACAGGAUUAGAUACCCUGGUAGUCCACACAGUAAACGAUGAAUACUCGCUGUUUGCGAUAUACAGUAAGCGGCCAAGCGAAAGCGUUAAGUAUUCCACCUGGGGAGUACGCCGGCAACGGUGAAACUCAAAGGAAUUGACGGGGGCCCGCACAAGCGGAGGAACAUGUGGUUUAAUUCGAUGAUACGCGAGGAACCUUACCCGGGCUUGAAUUGCAACUGAAUGAUGUGGAGACAUGUCAGCCGCAAGGCAGUUGUGAAGAUGCUGCAUGGUUGUCGUCAGCUCGUGCCGUGAGGUGUCGGCUUAAGUGCCAUAACGAGCGCAACCCUUAUCGAUAGUUACCAUCAGGUUAUGCUGGGGACUCUGUCGAGACUGCCGUCGUAAGAUGUGAGGAAGGUGGGGAUGACGUCAAAUCAGCACGGCCCUUACGUCCGGGGCUACACACGUGUUACAAUGGGGGGUACAGAAGGCAGCUACACGGCGACGUGAUGCUAAUCCCUAAAGCCUCUCUCAGUUCGGAUUGGAGUCUGCAACCCGACUCCAUGAAGCUGGAUUCGCUAGUAAUCGCGCAUCAGCCACGGCGCGGUGAAUACGUUCCCG